UUGCAUUAGGGAUUGCAGUGGUAUCCUUUUGCUUUUUUUUGCAAAAGAUAUAACGGAAAGCCCGACACUUU
rnacentral:sRNA from 1 species